rnacentral:rRNA from 1 species
GAAUAUUGCACUAUGGGCGAAAGCCUGAUGCAGCAACGCCGCGUGAGCGAUGAAGGCCUUCGGGUCGUAAAGCUCUGUCCUAAGGGAAGAAUUUUGACGGUACCUUGGGAGGAAGCCCCGGCUAACUACGUGCCAGCAGCCGCGGUAAUACGUAGGGGGCAAGCGUUAUCCGGAAUCACUGGGCGUAAAGGGUGCGUAGGCGGCCUUGCAAGUCAGAGGUGAAAGGCUACGGCUCAACCGUAGUAAGCCUUUGAAACUGUAGGGCUUGAGUGCAGGAGAGGAAAGUGGAAUUCCUAGUGUAGCGGUGAAAUGCGUAGAUAUAGGAGGAACACCAGUGGCGAAGGCGACGUUCUGGACUGUAACUGACGCUGAGGCACGAAAGUGUGGGGAGCAAACAG